AAUGAACGCUGGCGGCAUGCCUAACACAUGCAAGUCGAACGAGACCUUCGGGCCUAGUGGCGCACGGGUGCGUAACGCGUGGGAACCUGCCCUUAGGUUCGGAAUAACUCCCCGAAAGGGGUGCUAAUACCGGAUAAUGUCUUCGGACCAAAGAUUUAUCGCCUUUGGAUGGGCCCGCGUUGGAUUAGCUAGUUGGUAGGGUAAAAGCCUACCAAGGCGACGAUCCACAGCUGGUCUGAGAGGAUGAUCAGCCACACUGGGACUGAGACACGGCCCAGACUCCUACGGGAGGCAGCAGUGGGGAAUAUUGGACAAUGGGCGAAAGCCUGAUCCAGCAAUGCCGCGUGAGUGAUGAAGGCCUUAGGGUUGUAAAGCUCUUUUACCCGGGAUGAUAAUGACAGUACCGGGAGAAUAAGCUCCGGCUAACUCCGUG
rnacentral:rRNA from 1 species